rnacentral:rRNA from 1 species
UACAGAGGUCCCGAGCGUUGUUCGGAUUCACUGGGCGUAAAGGGUGCGUAGGUGGCUUUGAAAGUUUGAUGUGAAAUCUCCGGGCUCAACCCGGAAACUGCAUUGAAAACUACUUGGCUGGAGGAUUGGAGGGGGGACUGGAAUUCUCGGUGUAGCAGUGAAAUGCGUAGAUAUCGAGAGGAACACCAGUGGCGAAGGCGAGUCCCUGGACAAUACCUGACACUGAGGCACGAAAGCCGGGGGAGCAAACAGG